AGAGUUUGAUCAUGGCUCAGAACGAACGCUGGCGGCAGGCUUAACACAUGCAAGUCGAGCGCCCAGCAAUGGGAGCGGCGGACGGGUGAGUAACACGUGGGAACAUGCCUUUCGGUACGGAAACAACUGCGGGAAACUGCAGCUAAUGCCGUAUGCGCCCCUUACGGGGAAAGAUUUAUCGCCGAAAAUUGGCCCGCGUCUGAUUAGCUAGUUGGUGAGGUAACGGCUCACCAAGGCUUCGAUCAGUAGCUGGUUUGAGAGAACGACCAGCCACACUGGGACUGAGACACGGCCCAGACUCCUACGGGAGGCAGCAGUGGGGAAUCUUGGACAAUGGGGGAAACCCUGAUCCAGCCAUGCCGCGUGAGUGAUGAAGGCCUUCGGGUUGUAAAACUCUUUUACCAGGGAAGAUAAUGACUGUACCUGGAGAAUAAGCCCCGGCUAACUUCGUGCCAGCAGCCGCGGUAAUACGAAGGGGGCUAGCGUUGUUCGGAAUUACUGGGCGUAAAGCGUGCGCAGGCGGUUCUUCAAGUCAGGGGUGAAAGCCCAGAGCUCAACUCUGGAAUUGCCUUUGAAACUGUAGAACUUGAGUACGAGAGAGGUGAGUGGAAUUCCCAGUGUAGAGGUGAAAUUCGUAGAUAUUGGGAAGAACACCGGUGGCGAAGGCGGCUCACUGGCUCGUAACUGACGCUCAUGCACGACAGCGUGGGGAUCAAACAGGAUUAGAUACCCUAGUAGUCC
rnacentral:rRNA from 1 species